UGGGUAAUAGCUCAGUGCUAGAGCGCAUGCUUAGCAUGCACAAGGUCCUGGGUUCCAUCCCCAGUACCCCCA
rfam:Camelus ferus unplaced genomic scaffold scaffold322, whole genome shotgun sequence.